UCCCUGGUGGUUCAGUGGUUAAGACUCUGCACUUCCAUGGCAGGGGGCUCAGGUUCAGUCCCUGGUCAGGGAA
rfam:Ovis aries breed Texel chromosome 7, whole genome shotgun sequence.